UUUCCCUUUGGAGUCUAUAGAGGGAGAAGCAGAGCCUAAGGCUUCAUCAGUUUGAAUACUGGCUGGGGCUGGGCAAGUUAGUGGCUCAAAGUGUUGAAUCUGUCCCUAAAGCAGGGACAGAAAUGGAGGCUCAGGAGGUAGAGGUGGCAGUGGGCGUGCAGGAGAAGCUGUAGGUCAGGAGGUAGAGGUGGCAGUGGGCGUGCAGGAGAAGCUGAGGUCGGGAGGUAGAGGUGGCAGUGGGCGUGCAGGAGAAGCUGUAGGUCGGAAGGUAGAAGUGGCAGUGGGCGUGCAGGAGAAGCUGUAGGUCGGGAGGUAGAGGUGGCAGUGGGCGUGCAGGAGAAGCUGUAGGUCAGGGGGUAGAGGUGGCAGUGGGCGUGCAGGAGAAGCUGUAGGUCGGGAGGUAGAGGUGGCAGUGGGCGUGCAGGAGAAGCUGUAGGUCGGAGAGGUAGAGGUGGCAGUGGGCGUGCAGGAGAAGCUGUAGGUCGGGGGGUAGAGGUGGCAGUGGGCGUGCAGGAGAACCUGUAGGUCAGGGGGUAGAGGUGGCAGUGGGCGUGCAAUAGAAGCUGUAGGUCGGGGGGUAGAGGUGGCAGUGGGCGUGCAGGAGAAGCUGUAGGUCAGAGUGGAGAGGUGGCAGUGGGCGUGCAGGAGAAGCUGUAGGUCAGGGGGUAGAGGUGGC
rnacentral:lncRNA from 1 species